UUGUGUUAGUCGAAGUGGUCUGGAACGGCCUGUCGUAGAGGGUGAGAGUCCCGUAGACGAAAACAUGGUGACUGUUGUAGGUGAUGCCCGAGUAGCACCGGGCCCGUGAAAUCUGGUGUGAAUCUGUCGGGACCACCCGAUAAGCCUGAAUACUCCCUGGUGACCGAUAGCGGACUAGUACCGUGAGGGAAAGGUGAAAAGUACCCCGGGAGGGGAGUGAAAUAGUACCUGAAACCGUGCGCUUACAAUCCGUCAGAGCCUGUGCACCUUCGGGUGGUGGGUGAUGGCGUGCCUUUUGAAGAAUGAGCCUGCGAGUUAGCGGCAUGUCGCGAGGUUAACCCGUGUGGGGUAGUCGUAGCGAAAGCGAGUCCGAAUAGGGCGUUGAGUGGCAUGUUCUAGACCCGAAGCGGAGUGAUCUACCCAUGGCCAGGGUGAAGCGACGGUAAGACGUCGUGGAGGCCCGAACCCACUUAGGUUGAAAACUGAGGGGAUGAGUUGUGGGUAGGGGUGAAAGGCCAAUCAAACUCCGUGAUAGCUGGUUCUCCCCGAAAUGCAUUUAGGUGCAGCGUCGCGUGUUUC
rnacentral:rRNA from 1 species